rnacentral:lncRNA from 1 species
AGCCCUGGAUGAAGAUGCAACUUUUGAGCUACAGCCACAUUGGCAUCUGGCGGCAGAAAUUGAUGCAGGCGCUUCAGACGUCACCUUGACAGUUAGGACAAUUUCAGUGGAAGGAAAAAUAUUGCCAGCGAUCGGACCUAGAAUCACCCAUUUGCUUAAAGCCUUUGAGGACCAGAGCCGCUGUGCCCCAGGAGACCAAUCCUGUGAGACGCUGAGGGCUCUUCUCCCCAUCGGGAUCUGGCCCAGGAACAACAGCCCAGGAGAGAUGGCUGCUGGAGCAAUGACUUCAUAGCCCUUGAGCCCUUUACGCUGUCGCCAGCAUGAGGAGCAAAGCGCCACCUUCGCUUCUGCGUGUGAGCUGUCAUCAACCCACCGGCCCUUCCAGCUGGGGCUGGAGACGCCUAGGCUGUACGGCCCAGCUGAUCGCUGAGCAGAGAGCUGGUUAGUAAAGCCG